rnacentral:rRNA from 1 species
AGCUUGCUAGAUUGAUGGCGAGUGGCGAACGGGUGAGUAAUACAUCGGAACGUGCCCUGUAGUGGGGGAUAACUAGUCGAAAGAUUAGCUAAUACCGCAUACGACCUGAGGGUGAAAGUGGGGGACCGCAAGGCCUCAUGCUAUAGGAGCGGCCGAUGUCUGAUUAGCUAGUUGGUGAGGUAAAGGCUCACCAAGGCGACGAUCAGUAGCUGGUCUGAGAGGACGAUCAGCCACACUGGGACUGAGACACGGCCCAGACUCCUACGGGAGGCAGCAGUGGGGAAUUUUGGACAAUGGGCGAAAGCCUGAUCCAGCAAUGCCGCGUGUGUGAAGAAGGCCUUCGGGUUGUAAAGCACUUUUGUCCGGAAAGAAAUGGCUCUGGUUAAUACCUGGGGUCGAUGACGGUACCGGAAGAAUAAGGACCGGCUAACUACGUGCCAGCAGCCGCGGUAAUACGUAGGGUCCAAGCGUUAAUCGGAAUUACUGAGCGUAAAGCGUGCGCAGGCGGUUGUGCAAGACCGAUGUGAAAUCCCCGAGCUUAACUUGGGAAUUGCAUUGGUGACUGCACGGCUAGAGUGUG